ACGUGAACAGCAUUUGGACGUGGGUGAGUCGGUCCUAAGAGAUGGGCGAAAGCCUGGAUAGUAAGGGUGCAGAUGUACUGCCCUUCAGGGGGUAGUAUGUCCGGUUGGUUCUUCGGGGCCACGGUGGCACCAGCUCUCGAAAGGGUAUCGGGUUAACAUUCCCGAACCAGACACCUGGAUGCUGCUCGUUACUGCCUUCACGGGUGGUGCGAGUGGAGCACGGCAACGUAUAUAUGUUUACUCGGUGACGCUUGCGAUAGCCCUGGGAAGAGUUUUCUUUUCUUCUUAACCGUACCAACCGUGUGCACAGCCCUGGAAGCAGUUUACCUUGAGAGAGGGCUGGAGGUCGGGUAAAGCGCUGCACUUAUUGCAGCGUCCAGUGCGCUGUCGAGAGCCCUUGAAAAGCUGAGUCAGGACUGGACCAUGUUAGUCUCGUGUCUGGCCGUACCCAUCACCGCAUCAGGUCUCC
rnacentral:rRNA from 1 species